rnacentral:lncRNA from 1 species
UGGUGAUACACAGCUGCUUUGAAAGAUAAUAAGCGAAACCAUGCCCAAAUGAGCUAUGCUUCGCUGUUGUGCAGAGACAACGGGCUGCCUCGCUAAACGAUGCACACCUGUAACUCACGUGACCCUGAUUAUUAUUGAAACGAGAACGAGGGCGUCGUGCCUUUAUAAGACUGCGUUAAUGGUUCCGUGGAGUUAUCCCUUUCGUGGUUGUUUAUUGAUUGUUAAACAUGGCUUCAUUUGCAAAGGUGGUUGUGUGUGUCCUCAUUGCUUGUGUCUGUAAUGCAUUCGGUUUUCCGAAGAGAGAUGUGAACUUUAAGGCCUCUGCAGUUGACCGCCAAAGUGAUGAUGUGGUUGUCACCACAACACCCGUUCCCCACAACCAGACCACCUCUGCCCCUAAUGAAGCUGGUGGUGGUGCAAGUGAAGAUGCUGUGGCUACUACCCCAGCACCUAAUCCACACAACCAGACAACUUCUGCACAAACUGAUGUUACUGAUGGAGUCAGUGAAGAUGCUGUGGACCGCCAAAGUGAUGAUGUGGUUGUCACCACAACACCCGUUCCCCACAACCACACCACAUCUGCCCAUACUGAAGCUGGUGGUGGUGCAAGUGAAGAUGCUGUGGCUACUACCCCAGCACCUAAUCCACAGAACCAGACAACUUCUGAAGUUACUGAUGGAGCCAGUGAAGAUGCUGUGGACCGCCAAAGUGAUGUGGUUGUCGCCACAACACCCGAUCCCCACAACCAGACCACAUCUGCCCAUACUGAAGCUGGUGAUGGAGCAAGUGAAGAUGAUGAUGAUGCAGCAAGUGAAGAUGCUGUGGCUACCACCCCAACACCAAAUCCCCCAACUACAUCUGACCACACUGCAGCUACCGAUGAUGCAAGUGAGGGUGCUGUGGCUGCCCAAACUGGAACUACUGUAUCCCAUACGACUGAAGUCUGAUUCGACUGCUCCUCUGGUCACAAUGACCUGAGUCACUGUCUGGACUUUUUGCCUCUACAUGUUGACUGCAAUAAAGGACAGAUUUGUUUUUUGAAUCA